GUCUCCGUAGCUCAGCGGAUAGAGCACCGGAUUACGGAUCCGGGUGUCGGGAGUUCGAAUCUCUCCGGGGACGC
rnacentral:tRNA from 3 species